rnacentral:rRNA from 1 species
AGCGAACGCUGGGGGCAGGCCUAACACAUGCAAGUCGAACGAACCUUUCGGGGUUAGUGGCGGACGGGUGAGUAACACGUGGGAACGUGCCUUUAGGUUCGGAAUAACUCAGGGAAACUUGUGCUAAUACCGAAUGUGCCCUUCGGGGGAAAGAUUAAUCGCCUUUAGAGCGGCCCGCGUCUGAUUAGCUAGUUGGUUGAGGUAAUGGCUCACCAAGGCGACGAUCAGUAGCUGGUCUGAGAGGAUGAUCAGCCACAUUGGGACUGAGACACGGCCCAAACUCCUACGGGAGGCAGCAGUGGGGAAUCUUGCGCAAUGGGCGAAAGCCUGACGCAGCCAUGCCGCGUGAAUGAUGAAGGUCUUAGGAUUGUAAAAUUCUUUCACCGGGGACGAUAAUGACGGUACCCGGAGAAGAAGCCCCGGCUAACUUCGUG